GAUGAACGCUGGCGGCGUGCCUAAUACAUGCAAGUCGAGCGAACAGACGAGGAGCUUGCUCCUCUGACGUUAGCGGCGGACGGGUGAGUGACACGUGGAUAACCUACCUAUAAGACUGGGAUAACUUCGGGAAACCGGAGCUAAUACCGGAUAAUAUAUUGAACCGCAUGGUUCAAUAGUGAAAGACGGUUUUGCUGUCACUUAUAAAUGGAUCCGCGCCGCAUUAGCUAGUUGGUAAGGUAACGGCUUACCAAGGCAACGAUGCGUAGCCGACCUGAGAGGGUGAUCGGCCACACUGGAACUGAGACACGGUCCAGACUCCUACGGGAGGCAGCAGUAGGGAAUCUUCCGCAAUGGGCGAAAGCCUGACGGAGCAACGCCGCGUGAGUGAUGAAGGUCUUCGGAUCGUAAAACUCUGUUAUUAGGGAAGAACAAAUGUGUAAGUAACUAUGCACGUCUUGACGGUACCUAAUCAGAAAGCCACGGCUAACUACGUG
rnacentral:rRNA from 1 species